AACACAUGCAAGUCGAACGAUGAACACCGGAGCUUGCUCUGGUGGGAUUAGUGGCGAACGGGUGAGUAACACGUGAGCAAUCUGCCCCCGACUCUGGGAUAACCCCGAGAAAUCGGAGCUAAUACCGGAUACGACACCUCCUGGCAUCAGGUGGGUGUGGAAAGAAUUUCGGUUGGGGAUGAGCUCGCGGCCUAUCAGCUUGUUGGUGAGGUAAUGGCUCACCAAGGCGACGACGGGUAGCCGGCCUGAGAGGGUGACCGGCCACACUGGGACUGAGACACGGCCCAGACUCCUACGGGAGGCAGCAGUGGGGAAUAUUGCACAAUGGGCGCAAGCCUGAUGCAGCAACGCCGCGUGGGGGACGACGGCCUUCGGGUUGUAAACCUCUUUUGGCAGGGAAGAAGCGAAAGUGACGGUACCUGCAGAAAAAGCACCGGCUAACUACGUGCCAGCAGCCGCGGUAAUACGUAGGGUGCAAGCGUUGUCCGGAAUUAUUGGGCGUAAAGAGCUCGUAGGCGGUGUGUCACGUCUGCUGUGAAAAUCCAAGGCUCAACCUUGGACUUGCAGUGGGUACGGGCACACUCGAGUGCGGUAGGGGAGAUUGGAAUUCCUGGUGUAGCGGUGGAAUGCGCAGAUAUCAGGAGGAACACCGAUGGCGAAGGCAGAUCUCUGGGCCGUAACUGACGCUGAGGAGCGAAAGCGUGGGGAGCGAACAGGAUUAGAUACCCUGGUAGUCCACGCCGUAAACGGUGGGAACUAGAUGUGGGGUCCGUUCCACGGAUUCCGUGUCGCAGCUAACGCAUUAAGUUCCCCGCCUGGGGAGUACGGCCGCAAGGCUAAAACUCAAAGGAAUUGACGGGGGAAU
rnacentral:rRNA from 1 species